GGGGUUGUGGCUCAGUGAUAGAGCACCCACCUUGCAUGUGUGAGACCUUCGGUUCAAUCCUCAGCACCA
rnacentral:tRNA from 1 species